UGGUGGAACUUCAGAUGCUGUUGGUAGGCUGUGGGCAGGGUGCCUUUCUGUCUGCUGACAGUGGUUGGUCUCCGUCAACAAAGACCCUUUGUGGGCCAUGCAGAGGAGCCUCUGCUAGGAUUGUUAUGGACAGGGCCACCUUCUGCCCAUCUGCCAGCAGUAACUGAUCUCAGUCCACCACGGCUGGCAGCUCACUUCAGCUGGCCCAUGUAAGCCAGGCAGCAAUGCUUUUGCUGGGAUAGCUGUGGGUGGGGCUGCCCUCUGCUUGCCCAACGGUAAUGGCAGUGCUGCUGGGCUGAUAGGGUGGGCAGAGGCGUGCAGCGAGGAGCUGGGCUAACAGCAAGGAGGAAGGAGUGUUUGGAGCUGGCUCCUGCAGGUGCCUCCCCAGUUGAGCUGAGAAAGGACCGGGAAAAUCUCUGCACCUGCCAGGCAGCAAAGUCUGAGUGCUGCUGGGCCAGUUGGGCCAGACAGGCAGGCAGCUGCUCAGAGAAGCACCUCAGGGCUUGGCCGCCAGCAAUGGGUAUAGAGUAUUUGGGGGUCCCACAAGCACCUGACCAGUUGAACUGAGGCAGGCCUGGGGAUGCAUCGUCACAUGCCUUUUCUCCUGUGGAGAGAGCUGCAUCCAACCCCUGGCCCUCCAGCACCCUUUGUGCUGCUGGUAAAUCUUUCACACUGCCACCUCUGUGUUGGGUCUCAGUGGAACCAACGAAAUGUGCCUGUUCUCCACAACCAACUAGAAUCUCAGCCUCCCAGAGUGCUCCAACUCUCCCCAGUGGCCAGCCCCAUUAAUCAUCAAAGCCCAGUGCAAACUCAUUUUCCCAGAGCAGAUCUCCAGGGCCAGGUGUGCAGAGUUCCCUAGCACUUCUCCCUCCCUGCUCUGGGCUGGGAUGUGGGAAGGGCUUGAGUCUUGAUUGAUCAGUUCUGCCACUUUGUUUUUCUCUAUGUGGGCUUCUCUUCUCCAGGUACAGAUGGUCUGUCCUGCCAUCUGAAGGUCAUUUUCAGGUUUGGUUAAAUUUGCUGUAGUUGCUUCCUUGCUGUGUAUGUGGGAGGAGGUUUCCUCAUUGCCUUCCUACUCUGCCGUCUUUUUAACCAGAAAUCCAUUACUAUUACUAUUAUUAUCAAGUCCUUUACAGGCAUCAUCUCACUGAAUUCUUGCAACAUUCCCAAAUCUUGUUAUCCCCAUUCGGUAAGAAGGAAAGCGGAAGCUGUGUAAUUUGUCCAGUGUCAGUGAACCAGCAGGGGCAGAGCCAGUAGGUGGCAGAGCUGGACUUUGAACCUGCAUCUCUGACUGCAGAGCCUAAACCUUUCACCAUUAGUUUGUGCUUUUUCACAAUGAUUAAGGCUGCUGCCUUAGCACAGGGCUUCCCAUUUGCCUAGUUAAAUGAGAUUGUACAUGAAUAAUAUCAUACUAUUUCCUUUAUAAGAAAUAAAUUAAAGGAAUCUGAUAAAGCAGUCUGAUAGGGACCUUGGGUGAAUAAAUGCACCCAUUAGCCUGGGGAGUAUUCCAGGCAGCUUGGGCAGAGGGGCUCUAGAGCUAUACCCAAGGCCAUCUGAUCCCUGGUGCCCUCAGCACAAAACUGCCAGGACAACCCCAGUUAGCAUUUCUUUGCAGUCUGCUUACUGGGUUGAGUGGUACCUGAUACCCUCUGGGUCACUUUGCUUUGAACAAGGGCUUGGUUCCCUUAGGAAUCAGUGCAGGCCAUGUUGUGUGGGCCACUAGGCCUUGGAGAAGAGCCCAAAACUCUCCUGACUGGACCAGAGCCUGUGAUAUCUUCUUUCCUUAUUUACAGCCAGCUUGGCAUUUGUGACCUAGAUCAAUUCUGCACGUCCUCUUCCCUUUUGGGAGACACUCAUUGGUCAAAGACACUUCAUCAGCGGGUUCCCGUGGGUCCCCUGUGUCUCCUGGGAAGUAGCUGGGGAGGGAAAAAUGGACUCCAGUGGGAGAGCUGACCUCAGGCGCCAGAGCCUCCUCUGCAAGCACUUUCCUGUUCACGGUGUCCUCAAACUCUCCAGGAUUCUGGUAUUCAUCCUGGGGCAGUGCCUCUCGUUUGCAUCGCAGUGCAGAUGUGCUCUUCUGCAGAACUGUCACCUCCUCCAACAACCCUUCCCUGCCCCACAAUCACCCAUGUUCCCUAUCUCUUUAUAACGUUUACUCGUUCGUGGUUCCAGUUUUGUGGUUUUCACACUUACUGCCCCUGCCCUCUCUGCCUGACUGUAUACUCCAUGCAGGUAGGGGCCAUGUCCUUUUAUUCCCUGGAGUCAGCCUUGAGAACCGAUGGUGCAGUGGCCUUUCUGUCUGCGUCUCAGGCAGUCCCUUCUCUUCCUCCUUCCCUGGCUCUGGCGCUUUCUCCUCUUCUUAAAUGGUGCAUCCCUCUGGGCUGGCUCUUACCUUCAACUCUUGAUGUGUUUCCUAAGCCAUCUCCCUCACGCACAAACCUUCAGUUCACCACAUGACAUCUUUGUAUGUCUUAAAGGCACACCAAAUUCCCAGUGUCCACGGCAGAACACAGGGUCUCUCCCCUAGACCUCGGCCCCUUCACAGUGUUCGCUAGGUGAAUGGCUCCUUCGCAGCAGUGUGGGCCAGCUGGGAACAUGGGAGUCAUCCUAAUACCUCCUCAUUGUUUACCCACCCCCACUCCCAUCACGUUUAUUCCCGACCUGUCUACUUGGCCCCAUUUUCGCGCUCCCCACCCUAGUCCUUGCAACCUGCUCUUUUCACCUGACUGGCCUAUUAAAGAACCUUCCUGCUUCUAUUCUGGUCCCCUCCAUUCUCAUGCUCUAGCCAGAAUGUUCCUGAAAUACAAAUUUGAUCAUGUUACUAACAUUCCUCCCUCCUCCACACACAAUUUAAAACUGCUACAGCAAGAGCCAACAGCCCAGAUGCUCAGCAGACUGAUCCAGGAGAUGUGCUCUGUGGGUGACCUCUUGUGAUCCUCCAGCAUCUGGCCUCUGUGCUGGGGGUGUCCCUCUCUGGUGGGCGCCCUCUUAGACAGUAUCCCUUCAGGAUGCUCCAGCCGGGUUACUUUCCAAGGUCUCCUUUUGACUUGCAAAGAGAACAGACAUCCGUGCCACACCAGUUAACACCAGUGCCUCUCUCCAAUGAGGGCACCCUAAGCCACAGUUUAGCUGUGUGCUUUUAGAUUGCAGUUGAACACCAGUCUGUAGGGUUCCCUAAACUCCCCAAGACAUGUAUAAAUUCUCAAAUGGGCUCCGGGAAGGGAGCUGGGACUUGGCCCAGUUCUUCCUAAAGAAAUCUUCUCUUCCUCCCUCUUCUACCUCAACUCUUAGCCAGGAGUGGGGUGGAAGUAAGGGUCACAGACAGGUGUGAGAUCAACUCUUUCGCUAGUGCUGAGUACAUGGGCCAUCACUUCACUUUGGAAUACGGGAGCACUUUGCCAUCUCCUAAAUCCUUUUUGGGCCAGAGGCAGAAUUGAUUGGACAGCAUUCCAGCUACAGAAUUGUUUUACUAGCAAGUGUUCAAUGGAAGGAAUCGGUUAGAAUCUACCAUUAUGAGCCAAGAAGGGUUAUGUGGCUCUCGGAGCAGCUCUAAGCAGCUAGAGCGCCCAUGACAGCACCAGCAAGCCGAGAGGGCCAAAGCGCUCACUGGGCUCCACUCUGCCUGAUGCCUGAGGUUAGAGAGCAGGGUCUUCUGAAGCUCUCAACCUCCCCUGCCCCUGCUGACCUCCUUCCCUCUCAGGCAGCCCCUGCACCCCAUCUGGGGCCCCUCUCUACCAGCAUCAUCCCUGGCUGCAGCCUGGAGGGGUUGCUUCUGGGAGAGAUGGUUCUGUAAGAGGCACCCCCCCAGCCCGCUGCUGAGUAGCUGCGGACUUCAGCGCCACCACCCCAGCCACAUCGGCCAGCCACACUUCUCUUGGAAACCACAGACGCUUCUUGCUUCAGUCGAGUGGCAAGAGCCCUCACUUGCUCAGAAAUCCCAUGGCCCAGGCACAGAAUAUCUGUGCCUCCUCUCACCGAGGCAGCCCUGGCUAUGAUCAUGAAGGCGAUGCCGUUUGUGAGGUGCUUGUGACCACCGUGGGGUGGUGGGUGGGGGGCAUCUCAUGUAUGUAGUCAGGAUGUAAAUUGGCACCUUUCCAGAAAGCCGUUCAGAAUGUGUAUCAAGAGCAGGAAGAGCAUUUGUGCCUUUUGACUGAGAGGUUCUAUUUGAGCAUCUUCCAUUUCAGGGGCAGUCUGUAACAGAGGGAGUUCUGCCUGUCAUGGGGAGUCCACUUGCAUUACUGGGAAUUCUUUGAUGUAGCUUCUUCUGGAUCCCAUGGGAUUUGCUGCUUUAAUAACAUGUACCCCUUCUUUGGUCCAGUCAUGUGUUGACCAUAGAGAUGGUGUAGACAGUCCAGGUGGAUUUUAGCCUGUGUAAUUGGACAAUGUUGUCUAAGGGGGCCUGUUCCCAAAAGAUACAUGGUUCUCAAAAGGACACUGGUGUGGUGCUGGGUGCAUAAAAAUUUGUGGGUGGAGCCUCUAAAAAAGGAAAUUGUAUGAACCCUUUCCUCCUACUCUGAUCCAAUAAGUCUUGGUGGUUUCCAGAAAUAUCUAGUUUUAGAAUGCUUCCUCGUAGAUUCUGAUACUUCUAGAGGUUAAAGAACCACAGUGUAAACUGUAAUCUAGAAUAGUCCAUUUUGCUUUUAGAUUUAUUUUCUUAUUUUCAUGGGAAUAUUGUAUGUCACACAGGAUCUAGGCAUUCAAAAAAUAUCUGAAAUACCAAACAGGCAUUCUUAUCACAAAGUUGUAAGAAGUGUAAUUACAAAAGAUACUAGGUAGCCCCUACACCACUUUUAAGUACAUGCACUGCAUAUAUAGAGAAAUCUAGAAUGACUUCACUAUGCAAAAGUGUUCCUUCUGCUCACAAGCCAAGUGUGGGCAUUACUUCCUUACCUGGGGUCAUGUGAGGUAGGUGUAUGUUUCAAUGCUCACCUUCCCAGCACUUCUGAGAUUCCACAAAAGGAUAUGAUGUUAGAAGCACCUCAAAAUGAUUUUCAUUUCUAUUGAAAUAGGUAUAUGUUUCAAUGCUCACCUUCCAGGCACUGUCUGUUCUCCAUUCUGCCUGCAGUUCAGUUAGUAAAUCAGGGCUGCAAGUCUUCAUUUAGGUAGAUAUAUCUAUUUGGUAGGAGGUGUUUUUAACUUUGCCUGCUGGUUCUCAAAAUGUACUGGACAUUGAAGUCACCAAACUUCAAAACCAAAUUCCUGGAUGCACUGACUAAUCCCAUCAGUCUCAGGGUGGAGGCAUGAUUCUAGGUAGUGAUGUUUUUGAAGUCCACAGCAUGGUGCAGCAUGGUUGAGAAUUAUUGUGCCUAACUCUGCCCGAGGUAAGAAAAGCAGUGUAGCAGGAAUCUCCAUUGAAAAGUCAGGAGAAAAAGAUUUUCCUUGCACCCUAUCUCCAUUCAUGGUUUCAUGAUUACUUUGUGCCCAAUGUCCUGUGGUUUGCUUUUUUCCUUUUUUUGUUUUCACAGCCUUCAAGCAUUCUCAGUGUGUCUGUACCUGUACUGCAAUUUUAUUACAUUCAGAAACUCCAAACACUCUUACUGCUAAAAUAAAAUAAUGUAUUAAAGUUCCUGACAUUUAGAAGGUUCUUGAUAAAUGAUGGCUAUUCUAUCCCAGGUUACAAAAAAAACCAUUUUCCCUCAGACUCUGGCCAUGUGGGGCCCCCAGUUACCCAGGAUGCUUUUAAAAAUGGACAUCCUGGUCUCUGCCCAUACUUGGAAAUCAGAAUCUCUGGGUGGUGGUUCCAUGAAUCUGGAUAUUUUAACAAGUUCCUUGGUGGUGCUUGUACCAUAAAGUUGGGUCACCCUUGUGGCCAAACUCAAGUCACAAGAUCAACCCAGGUUCAAGGAGGUGCAGAAAUAAACGCUGCCUCUUGAUGAGAGAAGUCAUAAAGUCGCAUUCCUAGGGUUGUGGAUGCACAGAGGACAGGAGUUGGUGCCAUCUAAGCAAACGACCUACCAUGUGCAUUACCUGAACUUUGAGUGCUCAGGUGAUGCACAGCGAGAAGGCACAAUGCUCUGACAGCUCUCGAUGGGGCGCCGGGCCCCGGAAGGACCUGUGUGCACUGACGCCGGGGCGAGUCCUCAUACGGCAAGUCUGCUUCCAGUAUCUCACACUGAUAGCCUGAUGUACAUCCUCAAGGCAGAUACGCAAAGUGUUCAGGAAAUUGUUCAAGAUACUCAGAAAAUUGCCCAAAGAAGGCGUUACAGGAGCAGGCCAGUGCAAGAGGGAGAAUUAAGAAGGCUCUGAUCCUGUGUUCAAUGCCCCUUUCCCAUUCUACAUUACUACUCUGAUUAACAAGAGAUAAUAGUAAAACUAAUUUGCCUCUUCCUGAGAUGACAAUUGAUAUUUUAAAGGGUAACAAUAACUGUACAUUCCACACAAGUUACACUACUGCAAUAGUCCAUUAAUGCAAUAUCAAGUGAUCAUAAAAAGUAUCACAAGGAAACUGUGAUCAGGAAUACGGUGAAAAAAUGACAUAAUUCUGAUGUCUUUCAGAAUGCAGAUCCCAAUAAUCAAGCAGAAACAAAUGUAGGCUAGACUGCUACUCCAAUAUACAUAUAUACACAAAAACAAAUAAUCAGCAUUCAGUUUUGCCAAUUUUAUUGAACCAAUAAAAUUCCUACUAAUAACAAUGAAAUAAAUUUCUGCAAGUAUAAAUGUGAUACAGUUUAACAAAACCCAUUGUUCUGUACCUAUAAAUAGAUUUUCAAAAUGUCAUAAAAAGUGCAGUUAUGAAUUGUUAACAUGUUAAUACAGUUCCUUUAUUUCAAA